UCUCUACGGAAUAACUCCGGGAAACUGGAGCUAAUACCGUAUACGUCCUUAUGGAGAAAGAUUUAUCGGAGAUGGAUGAGCCCGCGUUGGAUUAGCUAGUUGGUGGGGUAAUGGCCUACCAAGGCGACGAUCCAUAGCUGGUCUGAGAGGAUGAUCAGCCACACUGGGACUGAGACACGGCCCAGACUCCUACGGGAGGCAGCAGUGGGGAAUAUUGGACAAGGGGCGCAAGCCUGAUCCAGCCAUGCCGCGUGA
rnacentral:rRNA from 1 species